rnacentral:rRNA from 1 species
ACUCCUACGGGAGGCAGCAGUGGGAAAUAUAGAAAAAUGGGCGAAAGCCUGAUCCAGCAAUGCCGCGUGAGUGAUGAAGACCUUAGGGUUGUAAAGCUCUUUUACCCGGGAUGAUAAUGACAGUACCGGGAGAAUAAGCUCCGGCUAACUCCGUGCCAGCAGCCGUACCCG